UACGUAGGGGGCAAGCGUUGUCCGGAAUUAUUGGGCGUAAAGGGCGCGUAGGCGGCUUUUCAAGUGACGGGUGAAAUCCCUCGGCUUAACCGAGGAACUGCCUGUCAGACUGGAAGGCUUGAGACCGGGAGAGGUGAGUGGAAUUCCCAGUGUAGCGGUGAAAUGCGUAGAUAUCUGGAGGAACACCGGUGGCGAAGGCGGCAUCCUGGACCGGUAUUGACGCUGAGGCGCGAAAGCCAGGGGAGCAAAGCGGG
rnacentral:rRNA from 1 species